UGCCAGCAGCCGCGGUAAUACGGAGGGUGCAAGCGUUGUCCGGAUUUAUUGGGUUUAAAGGGUGCGUAGGCGGGUCUUUAAGUCCGUGGUGAAAGCCCAUCGCUCAACGAUGGAACUGCCAUGGAUACUGGAGGCCUUGAAUUCAGUUGAGGUAGGCGGAAUUGAUGGUGUAGCGGUGAAAUGCAUAGAUACCAUCAGGAACACCGAUUGCGAAGGCAGCUUACUGGGCUUGAAUUGACGCUGAGGCACGAAAGCGUGGGGAGCGAACAGGAUUAGAUA
rnacentral:rRNA from 1 species